CAGUCGCCACGGGAAUACAGAGGAUGCAAGCGUUAUCCGGAAUUAUUGGGCGUAAAGCGCGCGCAGGCGGAUCAGUCAGUCUGUCUCAAAAGUUCGGGGCUUAACCCCGUGAUGGGAUGGAAACUGCUGAUCUAGAGUAUCGGAGAGGAAAGUGGAAUUCCUAGUGUAGCGGUGAAAUGCGUAGAUAUUCGGAAGAACACCAGUGGCGAAGGCGGCUCACUGGCUCAUUCUAGACGCUGAGGUGCGAAAGCGUGGGGAGCAAACAGGAUUAGAUACCCCCGUAGUCCCUGUCUCUUAUACA
rnacentral:rRNA from 1 species